rnacentral:rRNA from 1 species
UACGUAGGGUGCGAGCGUUGUCCGGAAUCAUUGGGCGUAAAGGGCGCGUAGGCGGUGUGUCAAGUCAGGCGUGAAAGCCCCGGGCUCAACCUGGGAACCGCGCUUGAGACUGGCACGCUAGAGUUCGGGAGAGGAUGGUGGAAUUCCCAGUGAUAGAGGUGAAAUUUCGUAGAUAUUGGGAAGAACACCGAUGGCGAAGGCAGCCAUCUGGACCGACACUGACGCUGAAGGCG